rnacentral:rRNA from 1 species
UACGUAGGGUGCAAGCGUUGUCCGGAAUUAUUGGGCGUAAAGAGCUCGUAGGCGGUUUGUCGCGUCUGCUGUGAAAUCUGGGGGCUCAACCCCCAGCCUGCAGUGGGUACGGGCAGACUAGAGUGCGGUAGGGGAGAUUGGAAUUCCUGGUGUAGCGGUGGAAUGCGCAGAUAUCAGGAGGAACACCGAUGGCGAAGGCAGAUCUCUGGGCCGUAACUGACGCUGAGGAGCGAAAGCUAGGGAGCAAACGGG